rnacentral:rRNA from 1 species
UACGUAGGCAGCAAGCGUUGUUCGGAGUUACUGGGCGUAAAGAGUAUGUAGGCGGUUGCGUAAGUUCGGUGUGAAAUCCUCCCGGCUUAACUGGGAGGGUGCGCCGAAAACUGCGUGGCUUGAGUGCGGGAGAGGAGAGCGGAAUUCCUGGUGUAGCGGUGAAAUGCGUAGAUAUCAGGAGGAACGACCGGCGGUGUAGACGGCUCUCUGGACCGUAACUGACGCUGAGAUACGAAAGCGUGGGUAGCAAACAGG